rnacentral:lncRNA from 1 species
GAUUUUUGUGACAUCUGUACUCAUGAUGAGCACAGAUAUGAUUACUGAAGCACUGAUAGAUGAAGUUGACAAAAUAAUCAGUGUUUACGGGAACAAAACAGCGAAUGGAAUAAUGGCGAUGAAAUGGAUGCUUCUCGAUGCUGUGCAGCACUAUAGAUCAUGCUGCGGACGGCUGAACUACACGCAGUGGGAGACAAAUGUCUUCGUAUUGUCGCUCGCUGAGAGCAAUGUGUAUCCCUGCUCCUGUUUUAACACAACGGUUUGUCCAUUCCUCAAGAGCAGCA